rnacentral:rRNA from 1 species
UUUUAUGGAGAGUUUGAUCCUGGCUCAGGACGAACGCUGGCGGCGUGCUUAACACAUGCAAGUCGAACGAUGAUGACCGGAGCUUGCUUUGGUUGGAUUAGUGGCGAACGGGUGAGUAACACGUGAGUAACCUGCCCCUUCUUCGGGAUAACCAUUGGAAACGGUGGCUAAUACCGGGUAUGACAUCAGAUCGCAUGGUUUGGUGUGGAAAGGUUUUUUCUGGUGGGGGAUGGGCUCGCGGCCUAUCAGCUUGUUGGUGGGGUGAUGGCCUACCAAGGCUUUGACGGGUAGCCGGCCUGAGAGGGCGACCGGCCACACUGGGACUGAGACACGGCCCAGACUCCUACGGGAGGCAGCAGUGGGGAAUAUUGCACAAUGGGGGAAACCCUGAUGCAGCGACGCCGCGUGGGGGAUGAAGGCCUUCGGGUUGUAAACCCCUUUCAGUAAGGAACAAGGCCAUGAUUGUUGUUGUGGUUGAGGGUACUUGCAGAAGAAGCGCCGGCUAACUACGUGCCAGCAGCCGCGGUAAUACGUAGGGCGCAAGCGUUGUCCGGAAUUAUUGGGCGUAAAGAGCUCGUAGGCGGUUUGUCGCGUCUGUCGUGAAAUCCCGAUGCUUAACGUCGGGCUUGCGGUGGGUACGGGCAGGCUGGAGUGCGGUAGGGGUGACUGGAAUUCCUGGUGUAGCGGUGGAAUGCGCAGAUAUCAGGAGGAACACCGAUGGCGAAGGCAGGUCACUGGGCCGUUACUGACGCUGAGGAGCGAAAGCAUGGGGAGCGAACAGGAUUAGAUACCCUGGUAGUCCAUGCCGUAAACGUUGGGCACUAGGUGUGGGGAUUGUUCCACGAUUCCUGUACCGUAGCUAACGCAUUAAGUGCCCCGCCUGGGGAGUACGGCCGCAAGGCUAAAACUCAAAGGAAUUGACGGGGGCCCGCACAAGCGGCGGAGCAUGCGGAUUAAUUCGAUGCAACGCGAAGAACCUUACCAAGGCUUGACAUACGCUAGAUCGCUCCAGAGAUGGGGUUUUCCUUUGGACUGGUGUACAGGUGGUGCAUGGUUGUCGUCAGCUCGUGUCGUGAGAUGUUGGGUUAAGUCCCGCAACGAGCGCAACCCUUGUUCUAUGUUGCCAGCACGUAAUGGUGGGGACUCAUGGGAGACUGCCGGGGUCAACUCGGAGGAAGGUGGGGACGACGUCAAAUCAUCAUGCCCCUUAUGUCUUGGGCUUCACGCAUGCUACAAUGGCCGGUACAAUGGGUUGCGAUACUGUGAGGUGGAGCGAAUCCCUAAAAGCCGGUCUCAGUUCGGAUUGGGGUCUGCAACUCGACCCCAUGAAGUCGGAGUCGCUAGUAAUCGCAGAUCAGCAACGCUGCGGUGAAUACGUUCCCGGGCCUUGUACACACCGCCCGUCAAGUCACGAAAGUUGGUAACACCCGAAGCCGGCGGCCUAACCCCUUUUGGGGAGGGAGUUGUCGAAGGUGGGACUGGCGAUUGGGACUAAGUCGUAACAAGGUAGCCGUACCGGAAGGUGCGGCUGGAUCACCUCCUUUCUAAGGAG